GAACCAGAGGCUCAAGAUGCUGUGAGCCUAAGGACUGGGUGACUAUUCUCUAAUACCCAAGGACACAGGAAGACAGUAUAGGGAUGCACAGAGGACAUGAACCUGGGGAGAGCUCAGAUGGCCCUGUGACUUUGUCCCAACUUUGCCAUGGCACUCACUUUCUGGAAAGCAAUAAAAGUAACAACAGGAACUAGACCUCAGUGGACUCUGCCCCCUUGGAAUAUCCUUCUGCCAUCUCUUCUUAUCAAACUUCCAGAUCCUCCUAGGCAGAAUUCAAAUGGCAUUUCUUUUAAGGACCUUCCAACACAGCCAGCUGGAUUAAUCUGGCACUGCCAGCCUGAUAACACAGUAGAUAUAAAUGUGUGCCCCACACAACACACCCAGGAAAGUAACUUUGCCUUAUUCCUCCCUGUAUCCACAGCAGCUGCCCCAGAGCCUGGACUGGUAUACUUUUUGUAUAAGUGAAUGAAAUAAAAUGGGGUAUGCUCAGAACCUCUUGUCCUUAACCUCUGCAGUAGACCUUAAACCAGGUGUGUGUUCUUCAGGGGACCAUCUUUAGACUCUUCACCUCUCCAACCUCUUCUUUCAACAUUAACAAACUCAACAUGGCUGCAGUUUGUCUUCCAUAGCAAGGGAAAGUGGAUUGGGUUAGAAUUGUUUUAAUUGUGAAAAUAGGAAGAUUACUGAUGAGUCAUCCUCCUUACUUAGCUUGGGGCCAAAGCUUAGGACAAACCAAGAGGGAACUCUGCCCUUACCUAGAUAAGGAAGAAGACAGGAUGACAGGAUGGCACUGAAAGGGGAGGGCACAUACACAGCACACACAAAGGGAGUUGGCAAGGUGCAGGUGCACAAAAGGAUGGCCUGGGUGCAGUUCUCCAUGUUCUUGUACAACACUGGGCUCAGUUUUCUACUCUGGACUCUGAGUGGUUUGGAUUCAU